rnacentral:rRNA from 1 species
CUACGGGGGGCAGCAGUCGAGAAUCAUUGUCAAUGCGCGAAAGCGUGAACAUGCGAUGCCGCGUGUGGGAUGAAGGCGCUACGCGUUGUAAACCACUGUCAGGGGGUAUGAAUAAGGCGCGGUUAAUACCCGCGCUGAUGACGUCAACCCCAGAGGAAGUCGCAGCUAACUACGUGCCAGCAGCUGCGGUAAUACGUAGGCGGCGAGCGUUACUCGGAAUCACUGGGCUUAAAGGGUGUGUAGGCGGCUCGUAUAGUGGGAGUUGAAAGCCGGCGGCUCAACCGUCGAAUUGGCCCCCAUACUUACGAGCUAGAGUCGCGGAGGGGAUGCUGGAACUCGUGGUGGAGCGGUGGAAUGCGCAGAGAUCACGGGGAACACCAAUGGCGAAGGCAGGCAUCUGGACGAUGACUGACGCUGAGGCGCGAAAGCUAGGGGAGCAAACAGGAUUAGAUACCCUGGUAGUC